rnacentral:tRNA from 1 species
CGGGUGAUGGCGCAGUUUGGUAGCGCACACGUCUGGGGGGCGUGGGGUCGCCGGUUCAAGUCCGGUUCACCCGACCA